AAAGAGCCGACUCAUUUGUAGGCGACACAUCACUAUUCGUAUCGCAACCCGGAAGUACAUGUUGGCACCGCUUUUUGUUUGAGAUGUUGUUGUGUUCUGGGUUAACAUGACGAAUGGAGUUUUAGUCCUUUGGACGAUUGACCAAAAGCCUUCCAUAGCAGUGAUGUGAUGACCAUUAUCUGCUCUUUCUGAUCCAGUCGUCUACGUGUACAUUUUAGUGGAACAAACACAAGACUGAAUCCAUGCUUUCUGAUGAGCUUGAUUCCAAACCUGAGCUGCUGGUUGAGUUUGUGCAGAACGCCUCCAUACCCUUGGGUCAGGGUUUGGAGGAAUCGGAUUCCAAAACCCAGUGUCUAACACUUCUUCCCUCCUCCGAUAAUUCUUUAUGCAGCCAGUUAGACCUUCCAGAGAGUGCCCUUAGCCAUGCAACCUCCCCGUCACUGUCAGAUUUUGGACCAGAACAAAGCCCCCUGGUAGUGCAGCUCCAGUCUCACUCUCCAGCACCGACCCCACCUGCAAUUCUGCAAGACUUCCAGCAACCAGACAGCACCUCAUAUGUUCUUCUCAACCUUGCCAAAGGGCUGGCAGCCUCGACAGAGCCCCUGGUGUUUGUGCAGGAUGACGUGGAUGAGGCAGAAGAGGAAAUUUCAGCAGGGGAGUGUACAGACGGAAGUGCGCCAUGGUACCUGCGGGUGCAAGAGCUUGCCCACGACAGCCUGAUUGCUGCCACUCGGGCCGAGCUGGCAAAGGAAGCCAGGGCUAGUAGCAACAGUGACCUGCUACUUAGCUGCCAGUCAGAGGUGCCCAAAAAGGAGACUCCACCACGAAAUACUCGUGCAUCUGCAGAGAAGAUUCUCAGGUGUCCUUAUGAGAACUGCCAACGGACUUUUACCUAUCCUGCUCAUCUGAAAUACCAUCUGAAAACACAUCGGAAUGACCGCACUUUCCGCUGUGGCGCUGAAGGCUGUGGGAAGAGCUUUUAUGUACUGCAGAGACUGCAGGUCCACAUGAGGACACACAACGGUGAGAAGCCGUUCAUCUGUAACGAGAAGAACUGCGGCAAGAAGUUUACCACAGCUGGUAACCUGAAGAAUCACAAACGUACACAUACUGGGGAGAAGCCCUUCCUCUGUGAAGUAGACAACUGUGGGCGUUGUUUUGCAGAGUACUCAAGUCUCCGUAAACACAUGUUGGUUCACUCUGGGGAGAAGCCCCAUCAGUGCUCCAUAUGUGGGAAACUGUUCUCUCAGAGCGGCAGCAGAAACGUUCACAUGAGGAAACGACACGGAGAGGACUCACUCGCACAUGAAAGCAGAGAAACAGGUGAAUUGCAGAAGAAGAAAAGAAAUGUUAGGCUGGAGGUCUUUUCACUUUAUCAGACGUGGUCCUGGGUUGUGAUUGACAGGCGAGGCGCUGACUCAUAGCAGCUUGCUAGAGGCUGAUGGUGUCACCACUGACUCCAUGGUAACUAUGACGACUGUGGAGCCAGUUAAUCUUCAUCAUGCGAUGCUGAGGGCACAAGGUCCUGCAGAUCCCAUAGUGGUUCUGUCUCCACCUCAUGACUUGGUCAACAUUACAGCUGGAGCGCACAGUUAUGGGGAGGAUGUGGUGGCAUUGCUCUAGUAGUAUUUGUAAAUAAAAUAAUUAUUGACAGUU